AGCAAGGUAGCCGAGUGGUCUAAGGCGCACGGCUCGGGUAUAUGAACUUUUCUUAAAGUUUCCGUGUCAUGAGAAUGGCGUGGUCGAAUCUCAGCCUUGUCA